CUGGCGGCAGGCUUAACACAUGCAAGUCGAACGGGCGUAGCAAUACGUCAGUGGCAGACGGGUGAGUAACACGUGGGAACCUUCCUAGGGGUACGGAACAACUCAGGGAAACUUGAGCUAAUACCGUAUACGUCCGUGAGGAGAAAGAUUUAUCGCCCUUAGACGGGCCCGCGUCGGAUUAGCUAGUUGUGGGGUAACGGCCUACCAAGGCGACGAUCCGUAGCUGAUCUGAGAGGAUGAUCAGCCACACUGGGACUGAGACACGGCCCAGACUCCUACGGGAGGCAGCAGUGGGGAAUCUUGGACAAUGGGCGCAAGCCUGAUCCAGCCAUGCCGCGUGAGUGAAGAAGGCCUUCGGGUUGUAAAGCUCUUUUGUCAGGGACGAUAAUGACGGUACCUGAAGAAUAAGCCCCGGCAAACUUCGUG
rnacentral:rRNA from 1 species